rnacentral:rRNA from 1 species
UACGAAGGGGGCUAGCGUUGCUCGGAAUCACUGGGCGUAAAGCGCACGUAGGCGGGUCCUUAAGUCGGGGGUGAAAUCCCGGAGCUCAACUCCGGAACUGCCUUCGAUACUGGGGACCUCGAGUCCGGGAGAGGUGAGUGGAACUGCGAGUGUAGAGGUGAAAUUCGUAGAUAUUCGCAAGAACACCAGUGGCGAAGGCGGCUCACUGGCCCGGUACUGACGCUGAGGUGCGAAAGCCAGGGGAGCAAACGGG